CUUAAAUUGAAGAGUUUGAUCAUGGCUCAGAUUGAACGCUGGCGGCAGGCCUAACACAUGCAAGUCGAGCGGUAGCACAGAAGAGCUUGCUCUUUGGGUGACGAGCGGCGGACGGGUGAGUAAUGUCUGGGAAACUGCCUGAUGGAGGGGGAUAACUACUGGAAACGGUAGCUAAUACCGCAUAACCUCGCAAGAGCAAAGAGGGGGACCUUCGGGCCUCUCGCCAUCAGAUGUGCCCAGAUGGGAUUAGCUAGUAGGUGAGGUAAUGGCUCACCUAGGCGACGAUCCCUAGCUGGUCUGAGAGGAUGACCAGCCACACUGGAACUGAGACACGGUCCAGACUCCUACGGGAGGCAGCAGUGGGGAAUAUUGCACAAUGGGCGCAAGCCUGAUGCAGCCAUGCCGCGUGUGUGAAGAAGGCCUUCGGGUUGUAAAGCACUUUCAGCGGGGAGGAAGGCGGUNAUCGAUUGACGUUACCCGCAGAAGAAGCACCGGCUAACUCCGUGCCAGCAGCCGCGGUAAUACGGAGGGUGCAAGCGUUAAUCGGAAUGACUGGGCGUAAAGCGCACGCAGGCGGUCUGUUAAGUUGGAUGUGAAAUCCCCGGGCUUAACCUGGGAACUGCAUUCAAAACUGACAGGCUAGAGUCUUGUAGAGGGGGGUAGAAUUCCAGGUGUAGCGGUGAAAUGCGUAGAGAUCUGGAGGAAUACCGGUGGCGAAGGCGGCCCCCUGGACAAAGACUGACGCUCAGGUGCGAAAGCGUGGGGAGCAAACAGGAUUAGAUACCCUGGUAGUCCACGCUGUAAACGAUGUCGAUUUGGAGGUUGUGCCCUUGAGGCGUGGCUUCCGGAGCUAACGCGUUAAAUCGACCGCCUGGGGAGUACGGCCGCAAGGUUAAAACUCAAAUGAAUUGACGGGGGCCCGCACAAGCGGUGGAGCAUGUGGUUUAAUUCGAUGCAACGCGAAGAACCUUACCUACUCUUGACAUCCAGAGAAUUUGCUAGAGAUAGCUUAGUGCCUUCGGGAACUCUGAGACAGGUGCUGCAUGGCUGUCGUCAGCUCGUGUUGUGAAAUGUUGGGUUAAGUCCCGCAACGAGCGCAACCCUUAUCCUUUGUUGCCAGCGAUUCGGUCGGGAACUCAAAGGAGACUGCCGGUGAUAAACCGGAGGAAGGUGGGGAUGACGUCAAGUCAUCAUGGCCCUUACGAGUAGGGCUACACACGUGCUACAAUGGCGUAUACAAAGAGAAGCGACCUCGCGAGAGCAAGCGGACCUCAUAAAGUACGUCGUAGUCCGGAUUGGAGUCUGCAACUCGACUCCAUGAAGUCGGAAUCGCUAGUAAUCGUAGAUCAGAAUGCUACGGUGAAUACGUUCCCGGGCCUUGUACACACCGCCCGUCACACCAUGGGAGUGGGUUGCAAAAGAAGUAGGUAGCUUAACCUUCGGGAGGGCGCUUACCACUUUGUGAUUCAUGACUGGGGUGAAGUCGUAACAAGGUAACCGUAGGGGAACCUGCGGUUGGAUCACCUCCUUACCAAGAAG
rnacentral:rRNA from 2 species